rnacentral:tRNA from 1 species
GAGGGUAUAGCUCAGUGGUAGAGUGCAUGCCUAGCAUGCAUGAGGUACUGGGUUCAAUCCUCAGCACCUCCA